AUUGAACGCUGGCGGCAUGCUUUACACAUGCAAGUCGAACGGUAACAGGUUAAGCUGACGAGUGGCGAACGGGUGAGUAAUGCAUCGGAACGUGCCCGGUCGUGGGGGAUAACGCAGCGAAAGCUGCGCUAAUACCGCAUACGAUCUGAGGAUGAAAGCGGGGGACCGUAAGGCCUCGCGCGAUCGGAGCGGCCGAUGUCAGAUUAGGUAGUUGGUGGGGUAAAGGCUCACCAAGCCGACGAUCUGUAGCUGGUCUGAGAGGACGACCAGCCACACUGGGACUGAGACACGGCCCAGACUCCUACGGGAGGCAGCAGUGGGGAAUUUUGGACAAUGGGCGCAAGCCUGAUCCAGCAAUGCCGCGUGCAGGAAGAAGGCCUUCGGGUUGUAAACUGCUUUUGUACGGAGCGAAAAGGCUCUCUCUAAUACAGGGGGUUCAUGACGGUACCGUAAGAAUAAGCACCGGCUAACUACGUGCCAGCAGCCGCGGUAAAAC
rnacentral:rRNA from 1 species